rnacentral:rRNA from 1 species
GAUGAACGCUGGCGGCGUGCCUAACAUAUGCAAGUCGAACGGAGUUAUUAUUAUGAAGUUUUCGGAUGGAUCGAUAGUAACUUAGUGGCGGACGGGUGAGUAACGCGUGGGUAACCUGCCUCAUACAGGGGGAUAACAGUUGGAAACGGCUGCUAAAACCGCAUAACAUUGCACUGCCGCAUGACAGAGCAAUUAAAUACUUAUAGGUAUGAGAUGGGCCCGCGUUUGAUUAGCUAGUUGGUAAGGUAACGGCUUACCAAGGCGACGAUCAGUAGCCGGCUUGAGAGAGUGACCGGCCACAUUGGGACUGAGACACGGCCCAAACUCCUACGGGAGGCAGCAGUGGGGAAUAUUGCACAAUGGGGGAAACCCUGAUGCAGCGACGCCGCGUGAGUGAAGAAGUAUUUCGGUAUGUAAAGCUCUAUCAGCAGGGAAGAAAAUGACGGUACCUGACUAAGAAGCCCCGGCUAACUACGUGCCAGCAGCCGCCGUAA